AAACACAUUGUUAGAUAAACUUAAAUCAUUUCUAAAAAUCGUGCAACUAUUAAUAACAUAAAAAAAUUAAAUUCUGAAAUGAUUAUAGGUUUUAAAUAUUGCGGAAAAUGUGUGCAUUUAUGUGUUAUAAAUUAAAAUCAGGCCAAUCUUCUAAAAGUUCAUUAUAAUGAAUUUGUUACCUUAAAAGUUUAAGAACGCCCAACAAAUUUUUUUGUAGAAACUUAUCGUCAUAUUUAACUCUAAUAAAGAAGACUAAUAAUAGGUAUAACACGAGCAUAUUGCAAGUAAGUGUUCGUUAAGGGUUAAAAAUAAAUUCGACUCUGAUUUCCAUGUUUGAGAUUUCCGAAAUGCUCAUUCAAACCGUUUCAAUUACUAAUUACAAAUAAUAACUCCACUUACUAACGAGGAAAGGUUAAGAUACAAUUAUGAAAAGCAGAGUAAAUGACAGCACCCUCAUUUAGAUUGAUGACAUAGAUACAUAGAAGCCAUGUCAUUGUCCCUUUUGGCAAAGGAAGGAGGUUACACCCCAUUGACAUAGCUUAUAACAAUAAUAAUAUAGUGCAAUCCACAUUCAUUGCGAAUAAUGCAUUUGUAUGUGUCUAUGGGAAAGUAGACAUUAUGGUGUAAUACAAAACUGCCCACUAAAGCGCAAAUACCUCUUAUUCAAGUGUAGGUCGGUUAAAUUUGUAAAAUGACAAUAAUCUAUGGCGUUUCUAGCUGUAACAAAGUUCGCAUCAGUCUUGAUUUUUCAUUGCUAAAAUGCUACUGUUAUAUACCAAUAGUACAACUUUUAAUUAGAUGAAGCUUUUCAAAAAAUGAAAAAACCAACAACAAAGAAAUAAAUAGAAACGGGGGAUUAACUAUUGACACUAUGAAAUUAUUGAUAUACAUGUGUUCAUUGCGUACAAAAAAAUACAAAAAAAAGCUAUUGGGAGGUCAAUAGAUAUAAAAGAAUUAAAAUGUAUCGCAAAAAAAUUGAAAUCUAAUCUACAAAAGAUAAGAAAAUAAAACCUUUCAAAAAAGUAAUUCCGGGUUUCCCAAUGACAUUUAUAUUUAAUUUUUGAUAUUAACUUUGAUCUAAAUUACAACUCAUUAUUUAUCUUGCUACAAAAAAAGAUUGUAUUAUAAUACAAAUAAAAUCCUCAAUCAAGAUAAUAAUACACACAGGGUGGAACGCUCAAAUGAUCUAUCCUUGAAAAUAAUAAUCUGGAAAAGUCUCUGCUAGCAACAAUCUUGAACGUGAUUUUUCAUCUAUCUUUUUUUAUACGAAUAGAAAAUGUCGUAAACCUACAAAUCGUUUUUUCCAAGUAUUGUCGAAUAUCUAAGUAAUAAGUAGUAUUUGUAAUCGAUACAAUUUUUACGUCAUCAUAUUUCCCUUCCUUUAUUACGGUAAAUAUGACAACAUAGUUUUCCCUCAAAUAUGACUCGGCAGGAAAUACAUUUGAGUUAAAAUUAAAUACAUUAUCUAUCAAACCAUUUUUAAUCGAAAUGCAAACUAAAUAAUCUGGCUCAAAAUAAAUGCUACAUUUAUUUAUUUUAGUUAGGUCUGCGCGGCUAAUAGCUUGAGAAGUAAACCAGAAGAACGACGCGGCGAUGAAUGCGGAAACUGCAAUGAACCAAAGAAAUUAAUUUGGUUGUAAAAGAACAUAUAUCAAAAAAUUUGGAAAAAUAUACUACAGAAAAGAUAAAACAUUAUUAUUCAGGAAAUAGAAAUGACUUUGACAUUAAAAAACGUCAAUGUACGAAUUAAGGCAACAUUGGAAUUACAAAUUUAAUAUUUACAUUCAUGAAGAGAUAUUUGAAAAAUCAUGUGGUGUGUUUGGUGUGAAAUAAUAACUUCGCGAAGGUCUUAGAAAAUGAAGUCAUGUUUGCUGAAGGCGAUCUCUGGCGACGCAGUCACACGGAAUACGUUCAGCAGUCUCUGACUUGUCAUUGCAAAAUAGACUAGUUUGAUCCCCAGCGUGUCCAAAGUUGAAGAGAUGGUAAUUUAGGGACUUGUAGCCUGAGGCAUAAAACUUCUUUGGUUUUCUUUUGCGAAGGAGUUAUGUUACUCUUCGCUUGUUUGGAAGUCCUGGAAGCCUGUUCCAUUUAGAGUAUAAAUUCAAAAUAUUUGUGAUUAUUUUUUGGUUAAUAUUUUCAAAAUUACAGCUUUAAACGCUGUUACUGGUCAAUUUCUAGAUUUAUGUGAUAAAUUCAAUAAGAUAAUAAAAGUGGCCCUUAAUCAAUUAAUCAACUUAAUUGACUUACCCCGUGCGUUCAAUAUUGAUUUAUUAUUUAACAUUUAAAAGAAUUAUAAAUAAACAAUAUUUUAUAAAUACAA
rnacentral:lncRNA from 1 species